rnacentral:lncRNA from 1 species
UGCAGUCUGAUCAAUUAGACUAAAAAGAAUAUGAAGAACAAUUAGUUUUACCCCAUCUGACUCAGCGACUAGUUUAAAUUUGCAUAUCAGUACCCUGUUGAGUGGGUAGACUGUAGAGGUACCACCUACAGGCUGUCGUACUUAACUUAUCCACCUCCCUUCCCACCACACCAAAAAAAAAGGGUGAAGGAAAAUGAACACUAAAGAAGUUAGAAAGGACAUGUGGCUGUGUUCCCCUUUCUCUGAUGCAAGCUGAAUAUCCAAAUUGUGAACAUCAAAAUAUGUUACUCUAAAUAAGCUCAAAACAUUUAAAGGUAUUAUAACAGGUAUCAAAUUAAUAUCUGUGGCCAACUGUUACAGACUGUUCUAGGGUAAACAGAAGCCAAUAGUGUUAGCUGUAUUCCAAGUUCAUUAAAUUGGAAACCUAGGCUGUUAGCCCAUGAAGUGUACCAACAAACUUCUACCCGUUUAACGAGGCAACGUGCAUUUUUGCAAGCAAUCUAUGACCAGUUCAAGGUAAUGGUCUCUUAUUUUACAUUGCAUCAGUUAAGCAUUUUAUAAUAAUUAACGAUGCAGCCAUUGUAAACCAUGAUGCUGCCAUUGAUAAACAAUCCCAAUCUUUUUUGUCCUUGAAUGGCUUGCAAAACUUGUCAAAUGUCCAGAUAGUUGUUUAGAAUUGUUUGGCACUCUAAAAUAUCUGGAACUGGCAUGCUGCUCAUAUGAGUAUAUGUUCCUUAUCCUCUGUCUUUGGCAUCUAUGUGACGAUACACGUAUUUCUGAUCAUUUACACUUAAGCUUGUGCAGAGCGUGGAAGAUCAGGGGAUCGUGCAGCAUCUCCUCCAAG